UACGGGAGGCAGCAGUAGGGAAUCUUCCGCAAUGGGCGAAAGCCUGACGGAGCAACGCCGCGUGAGUGAUGAAGGUCUUCGGAUCGUAAAACUCUGUUAUUAGGGAAGAACAUACGUGUAAGUAACUAUGCACGUCUUGACGGUACCUAAUCAGAAAGCCACGGCUAACUACGUGCCAGCAGCCGCGGUAAUACGUAGGUGGCAAGCGUUAUCCGGAAUUAUUGGGCGUAAAGCGCGCGUAGGCGGUUUUUUAAGUCUGAUGUGAAAGCCCACGGCUCAACCGUGGAGGGUCAUUGGAAACUGGAAAACUUGAGUGCAGAAGAGGAAAGUGGAAUUCCAUGUGUAGCGGUGAAAUGCGCAGAGAUAUGGAGGAACACCAGUGGCGAAGGCGACUUUCUGGUCUGUAACUGACGCUGAUGUGCGAAAGCGUGGGGAUCAAACAGGAUUAGAUACCCUGGUAGUCCACGCCGUAAACGAUGAGUGCUAAGUGUUAGGGGGUUUCCGCCCCUUAGUGCUGCAGCUAACGCAUUAAGCACUCCGCCUGGGG
rnacentral:rRNA from 1 species